AAUAAUCUUAUGGUUGGGGGUCACCACAGCAUGAGAACUGCAUUAAAGGAUUGUAGCACUCGGAAGGUUGGCAACCACUGGAGUAGAGGAAGAGUAUCUAUAGAUUCCAUAAAAACACUGAGCCUGUUUGUACAAAGGACUUGCUAUCUUCCAGGAAUCUAAUACUCAUCACCAUGGAUACUGAGGGUCAACUGUAGUGAUACAGCUGUUGAGGAGAUGCAGAAUCUACAGAGUCAGGGUGCAAAUUUGGCAAAGCAGGCCAGAAAUAGGGCAGCACAGAGCUUUCCUGUUACCAACUUCCUUUGAUAUUGCAUGUAAGAUAACAGUUCACCAACCAACCGUCCUGGUUGACCAAGACCAAGGGAUUUUCCAGCACAUAGAAAUUUUAUCACUAAAGUUAUUCACCCUAUCUAGAUUACACACACAUAAGAGAGAGAGAGAGAGAGAGAGAGAGAGAGAGAGAGAGAAACACAGAGACAGAGAGAGACUCUGAAAGAUAGAUACACGGGACCAGAAGGAGUCAGUCUUGCCAUGCAUAACCACAACCAUGGCCACAGCCACAGCCAAAGCCAUAGCCACAGCCACAGCCAUGGCCACAGCCACAGAGGUGGUUCCAUUUGCCCUUACUAACAAUCUUCUCAAGACUCUAAUAGGCAAAGCUGGCUAACAAAUCAGAAGAGCCAUGGCUUCCCUAGAAAGAAGGCAUUCCACAUGGGUGAACACCCUCUGAGGAUACACCAGGAGGGAUGCCAUGCUGGAUCAGAGGCAUACCUCAAACACUUCUCUCUUUGACAUGCUCCAACAUGGCUACCUGGCUUGGGGUCUAAUCUUAAGGUGCUUUGAAUCCUGAAACCUCUGGCUGUGUGCUACCUCAUUUUCCUUCCUCAACAUGUUUCCUGCAAGUUUCUCUCCCUUCAAAGUGUAUUCUACACACAGGAAAGUAGGUGAACUAAUGUGAGCCUCCUGUUAAUUUCAUUCUUUGGGGGAAAUGGGAAACAGAGAUUAUUUGCUUAUCUAUCUGGGGAAACUGAGGCUCAGGAAGGGUUGGUACCUCAUCUGAGGCUUCCCCCUGAAUGGGAACAGAUGCCUACCUGUGUAUCUCUGCUAAGGGAAUGAUGCCAUAGAUUUUUUUUUCAUGUGAUUUUCACCCUACUCAUCUUGCAAGUAACCAUUGUGAUAAAACUUACCUGUCGCAUCCAUACCUCCUCAGGAAUGGUCACAGUAUCUGUACAGGCAAAUUGGCAUCAUGGGAGAUGAAACAAGCAAAAACCUGGUUGAUGUGGAAGACACUGUAUAGCAUGGGAGCGCUGGAGUAGGUGAAGAGAGCUGGGCUCAUGCCUGGGAAGUGCCUUUGACCCACUCUGAAUGCAAUGCAGGCAGAAGCAAGAGAGCCUUCUCACCCUAUCCUCUCCCUGUCUCUACAACUCUCCAUCAUCUCUAGUCUUUCCUGUCCAUCACCUUAGGGAACUCACAUCCUUCAGAACUCCAGUAGAGGCAAACACACCACUAGCUGGUAUUAACAAGCAACUCUCACAGGAUCAUUUCAAAAUGAACAAGUAUCAACAGACACUUGCCCAUAUGGGGAGGGGUGAUGAGGGGGUUAGAGAGAACACAGGGUAGGGGAUGAUAGACUUUCGAACGUGUUCUAAACAAAAAUGGACAAAGAACAAAUGUAAUUAGUUUUUAAAGCCAUCCAUGUCCCACUGGGAAGAGUGGGACAGGAGGAGGAGGAAAGCCUCGCUCUACCACAGUAGGUGUGGACACCGUUCUCAGGUAUUUGGGGCCUCCAGGCUGUCUGGCUCUCACAUCACAAAAUAAGGAAGGCAUCCUCUUCCAGGAUCACAGGACCUCUGACCGCAAAUCCACCCAGGGCACACGUCUCGGCCACAUAGCCUUGCUGAUCCCAGCAAUGCCCAGUCCAACGAACAGUGAUGUCAUACUGUUUGGGUUGGGAUCAUUCCUGAACCGUGAAGCAGUUAAGAAAUAUCCUGCCCCACUGGCUGCUAUGCUCAUAAAGGAGGACCCACGUGUACUUCCUUCUUGUUCCAAGACGCACCAGCUCAUGCAUUCGCUCACACCCAGAGGGAGAGACAGCACAGGACUGCCACCUCCCAUGCAAAUCACCUCCAGGAGUGCAGCUGGGCUCCUCCCGCUGCUCCUGGGCAAUGCUCCUGGGUAGACCUUGUACAAGAUGCCAUCUCGGGCGCUGUGUAUUUUUCCUCAUUGUGGCUCUUUUGGUCGACGCUGUGGGCCUGGUCCUUUUGCUGCUGGGAAUCUUUGCUCCACUAAACUACUGGGACUUCUUUGUCUACACGGGAGCUCUGAUCCUAGCCCUGAGCCUACUGUUCUGGCUUGCCUGGUAUUCCUUCAAUAUCGAGGUCCCUCUUGAAAAGCUGGACUUUUAGGGGAGCCAUGGACAAGAGAGAAACAGGUGGCAUAUGCAGCUGUGAACCUGAGACCCUGGACAUGAAGCCCCCACACAGAACGCCCCACUAAGACCAGCAUGGGUCUGUCUGGCACAGAAGAAUCAAAUCAAGGCAUGCGGUCUUUGCAGCUCACCCUCUGAUAGUAUCCAAGAGGGACCCAGAUGCUGCGAUGAUGAAGCUUUCACAUCACCCACCAGGAUAGCCACAAAUGACUGUGAAUACCAAGGCUCUCUCUGAAGCCCAAGUUCCCAGUGCCAAACCGCUGCUACUGCUGCCUCUACUCCAGAAGGUUGUGGAGGACCAAGAAGCCAUGAUGCUCCACCAGUGGGGCUUUUAUAAGGACCACUCCACUCCAGGCUUAGAUACCAAAGAAACCUCUGGCCAAAGUCUUUUCAAAGAACUGCCGACUGAAAUUAAGCACAGACAACCCAAUUGGGGUCUCCCAUGAGCAUGCACCACACAGUAAUGUUGGCAUGUCCCUUUGACGUUCACUAGACUCCAAGUGCCUGGUUCCUCUUCACCCCACCACCCAGGGGAUAUACAGAGGCUGAUUCCAACAUGGAGACCACAACAUGAAUGCACAGGCAGCAGUGAGCACACAGAGACUCUCUUUACUGGGGAACAUGCUGGCACUGUUCACACAGGCCUAUCUAGGUGUAGAGCCGGCACAUGGGGGCUGCUCACAUCGCACUCCAGGUCACCUGAAACCUCCAGGUACUUUCUCUGAUAAGCACAGUAAGACUCGCUGUGCUGUCUGGAUGUUGUCCAUGACUUAAAGGAUAAAACUACAUUUCUAGUCCAAAUUACAUGUAGUCUACUGCAGCCUGGCCCCGGAAUCUACUGAAGACCAUCAUUCCAGGGGCAAUCACAAAGAUGUCAUCCAAGCUAACCUGUGCUACUAAUUUAUAUUCCCCAUGGUCUGAUUUUGUACUCGAUAUUUAUAUUAUGCACUGAAUGUACAUGUUUCCUUUAAGGUGUCUCGCAUUAUGUAUGGUAUGGGGUAUUUACCUACAGAAAGAAGUGGACACAUUGUUA
rnacentral:sRNA from 1 species